CCGGUGUUCGGUGUCUGCCUGAACGUCGGUGUCUGUGUAUGCGUGUCUUCUUUGUGGCAUCACACGUCAACUACACUGAACGCAUACACCUGCAGCACCUUUGGGACUAAUGACACAAAGGUCAAGGCCAGCCUGGCGACCAUGCUUGCCAAGGAGUAGUGUAAAUAUUUAAUCUGUUUCCAUAAUAGCAUAAGACAUGAAUUUAAGGAAUUAAUCUAUUAUAUCGAGCAAUAAAAACGGUUAAUGCA
rnacentral:lncRNA from 1 species